UUUUAAAGCAAAAUUUCAUCAUAAGCAUUGUCAGAGAUAACAUGAAAUAAUACAUCAAUAAUUGGUUAGGUGUUAAGUGGUUCAUUUGAUGCUCUGCCUACUGAGGGUGAUGUCACUGGCAUCGUGGAGGUCUCCCCCAGAUUCCAGCGCCAUCUUGCUAAUGAGAGUGUUAGUCGAUGUUAAGGGGAAACUCCUUAGCGGCCAUUUUAAAUAAUCACAUAUAAAGUUGAAUAAUGCUGAUUGUAGUUAUGCUGAGUAAAUAGACAUUUUACUAAUAUAGAUUAGGUUAAUAUUUUUGUCCACAACAGAAUUAUAUAGACACAUUAACUAAUUUUAUCUUUUGACUUUCCUAUC